GGCUCCGUGGGUCAGCGGUAGGCCGCUCCCUCUUUUGCCGUAAGGCGCAUGGGGAGAGGCGUGGGUUCGAGUCCCACCGGACGCCC